AUUCAAGGCUCAAACUCGAGACCUCUGGUUAAGAUAGAUGGAUCAUAUAUAUCCCACCACAACUUUUGUUGGUACUAAUAAUGACUUAAUUUACUUUCUCUUAAAAAUUAGGCAAUAUGUUGGAUUUAUUUGUUGUGUUCUACCCACAAAGAUUUGGUUGAGUGGAAGUUAGUAUUUAUUUAUCCUUAACCAGAAGUGUCAAGUUCGAGUCUUGGACAU